UACGAAGGGAGCUAGCGUUGUUCGGAAUCACUGGGCGUAAGGCGCACGUAGGCGGAUGUGUCAGUCAGGGGUGAAAUCCCGGGGCUCAACCUCGGAACUGCCUUUGAUACAGCACGUCUUGAGUCCGAUAGAGGUGGGUGGAAUUCCUAGUGUAGAGGUGAAAUUCGUAGAUAUUAGGAAGAACACCGGUGGCGAAGGCGGCCCACUGGAUCGGUACUGACGCUGAGGUGCGAAAGCGUGGGGAGCAAACAGG
rnacentral:rRNA from 1 species